CCGGCAUCAGUCGUUAUAUCGAAAAGGCGAACCGACAUCGUGCGAUUCAACUCUGGCUUGUAGAUUCCAGCCACGUGGUGGGGCAUCAUUGGGUCGGAGUUGUUCACGUGGAUGGAGGUGACGUGGUUCAAUCUGGUGCAAGUACGUCGAACCGUCAGGCCGAUGAUGGGCUCAGAUGUCGCCACGCAUCGUCAUCUGGCAUGGCUUCGGUCUGGCCGCUUUCAUUCGAUCCAUCGGGCAUUCCUCUAUAUAAAGGGGCUCUGUCAGCCAGGUACUCAUCCCUCAUUUUGUCUUUUCUGGAAGAGGACUC
rnacentral:lncRNA from 1 species